rnacentral:rRNA from 1 species
GACGAACGCUGCGGCGUGCCUAAUACAUGCAAGUAGAACGCUGAAGAGAGGAGCUUGCUCUUCUUGGAUGAGUUGCGAACGGGGUGAGUAACGCGUAGGUAACCUGCCUGGUAGCGGGGGAUAACUAUUGGAACGAUAGCUAAUACCGCAUGAAAUUCAUUGUCGCAUGAUAAUUAAUUGAAAGAUGCAAUUGCAUCACUACCAGAUGGACCUGCGUUGUAUUAGCUAGUUGGUGAGGUAACGGCUCACCAAGGCGACGAUACAUAGCCGACCUGAGAGGGUGAUCGGCCACACUGGGACUGAGACACGGCCCAGACUCCUACGGGAGGCAGCAGUAGGGAAUCUUCGGCAAUGGGGGGAACCCUGACCGAGCAACGCCGCGUGAGUGAAGAAGGUUUUCGGAUCGUAAAGCUCUGUUGUAAGAGAAGAACGGGUGUGAGAGUGGAAAGUUCACACUGUGACGGUAUCUUACCAGAAAGGGACGGCUAACUACGUGCCAGCAGCCGCGGUAAUACGUAGGUCCCGAGCGUUGUCCGGAUUUAUUGGGCGUAAAGCGAGCGCAGGCGGUUAGAUAAGUCUGAAGUUAAAGGUUGUGGCUUAACCAUAGUAUGCUUUGGAAACUGUUUAACUUGAGUGCAGAAGGGGAGAGUGGAAUUCCAUGUGUAGCGGUGAAAUGCGUAGAUAUAUGGAGGAACACCGGUGGCGAAAGCGGCUCUCUGGUCUGUAACUGACGCUGAGGCUCGAAAGCGUGGGGAGCAAACAGG